AGGCACUCUCCUUGCUCAGCAGCGAUGACUGGGAGCUGAAGGAGAAGGGACUCUUCAGCAUCAAACACCUGGCUGAGUCCCACUCAGAAGUCCUUCUUUGUAGACUUCGUGAGGUUUGCUUGGCACUUACCAACGAGGUGACCAACCUUCGCUCAAAGGUGUCUUACUCUGCAAUCGU